CACAAUUGGGACUGGCUAUACUGCUGUGCUGAAAAGAAGUCUCAGGCCUCAGAGAAAAAGAAUACCGUGGAGAUGUCUGCCAGAGGAAGACAGAAUCACAACAGGAACCAGUUUCCUUGUAGACAUCUCCCAAGAGUCUUUCCUUGAUCUGCCUUCCGCAUGCUUCUUACUUGGCUUCAGACAUGAGCAUGCUUCCAGCCCAGAUUUUACCUUAACCUGUUUGACCGAACUCUCUGAUGAUUCUAGUCAAUUUGGAUUUCAGCACUCGAAUUCUGUCCCUGAUGGUAAGCUAAACUUUAGACUGAUAUUUUUGAAUGUUUUAAAUUACAUCUGUACUUUUUUAAUGUCAGAUGUGUAAAAAAAUAAAUCUUGAUGUCAUUUAUUUGUAGUGGUAUAG
rnacentral:lncRNA from 1 species